rnacentral:rRNA from 1 species
GACGUAGGGGGCGAGCGUUGUCCGGAUUUAUUGGGCGUAAAGAGCUUGUAGGCGGUUUGUCGCGUCUGCUGUGAAAUUUCGGGGCUCAACCCCGAACUUGCAGUGGGUACGGGCAGACUAGAGUGUGGUAGGGGAGACUGGAAUUCCUGGUGUAGCGGUGAAAUGCGCAGAUAUCAGGAGGAACACCGAUGGCGAAGGCAGGUCUCUGGGCCAUAACUGACGCUGAGAAGCGAAAGCAUGGGGAGCGAACAGG